GGGCGAAUGGUUUAGUGGUAUAAUACUCCCUUAGCAAGAUUCUCCAUCUGAGUCCUAACAUGGGAGUGGUCCGGGGUUCGAUUCCCCGUUUGUCCA